GACGAACGCUGGCGGCGUGCUUAACACAUGCAAGUCGAACGGAAAGGCCCUGCAUUUGUGGGGUGCUCGAGUGGCGAACGGGUGAGUAACACGUGAGUAACCUGCCCUUGACUUUGGGAUAACUUCAGGAAACUGGGGCUAAUAUCGGAUAGGAGCUCCUGCUGCAUGGUGGGGGUUGGAAAGUUUCGGCGGUUGGGGAUGGACUCGCGGCUUAUCAGCUUGUUGGUGGGGUAGUGGCUUACCAAGGCUUUGACGGGUAGCCGGCCUGAGAGGGUGACCGGCCACAUUGGGACUGAGAUACGGCCCAGACUCCUACGUGAGGCAGCAGUGGGGAAUAUUGCACAGUGGGCGGAAGCCUGAUGCAGCAACGCCGCGUGCGUGAUGACGGCCUUCGGGUUGUAAACCGCUUUCGCCUGUGACGAAGCGUGAGUGACGGUAAUGGGUAAAGAAGCACCGGCUAACUACGUG
rnacentral:rRNA from 1 species